rnacentral:rRNA from 1 species
GACGAACGCUGGCGGCGUGCUUAACACAUGCAAGUGGAGCGACGAACCAGGCUUCGGCCUGGGGCAAAGCCGCGAACGGGUGAGUAACACGUGGGUAACCUGCCCCGAUGACUGGGACAACCCGAGGAAACUCGGGCUAAUACCGGAUGUGCUCGCAUCACAUCAGUGGUGUGAGUAAAGAUAGCUUCGGCCUUCGCAUCGGGAGUGGGCCCGGCCGGCCC